rnacentral:tRNA from 1 species
GGUUGUGGCUCAGUGGUAAAGUGCUUGUCUCUCAUGCAUGAGGCACUGGGUUCGAUAUUAAGCACCA